AAAUAAUAGCAAUUUGCAUUUCGAUUUCGGCUCGAAAAGAGGAAUACUUUCCAUUAUUUA
rnacentral:tRNA from 1 species